AGUGGAGCAGUGAUCUGUAAUAGAACUGGCAAGCUGGGACAUAUGGCUCUUUGGAAGCAGAAAAUCUGUGACUACUGUAAGCAACCAGUGGACCAGGGACUGAACACUCCAGAGCAGAAAGUCUUUGAAAAGUCACCAGUAAAUACAGCUGAAGAGGUAUUUCCAAGUUUAAUCAUCUGCUAACAGCCUUCCCUGCCAUCUCCUUCUGCGGAAGCACACAGGCCCCUGAACUCUAGCACGGUUGGUCAUGUGAAAAGCCUCUGAUUACAGUGACAGAUCACCACAUUUCAAAAGGAGAUGCCAUGAUCACCACCAGGAAGACCAAAGUCCCCUGUUUAUCCAAAAACAUCUAUGUGUGAUGGAAUUGGAGCUUCUCUGUAAUAAUGUAUGAAUGUUGUGUGUUGACUUGGUUAUUGGGAUGUCUGCUGCAUUAAUUUAUUUUUAGUGUAAUGGGGGGCACAAACAAGAAGGAAGGGAAGAAGAAUGGCUCAGGAUAAGUCACUUUUCAACAAACACUGAAGGGGUGUUAAGAGAACUGGUCUUGACAGCAGGGCCAAGGCCUGGGAGCUGGAAGAUCAGAAGAACUCUAGCAGUUUAAAAAGGGACCCCGUCUCAAAAGGAAAGGGUCUGCUCAGGGAAUUGGUUUUUUUUGUGGUGGGGGAGGACUGUACCCAAAGACACCCUUUGGGUGUCUGGAGAAGGUAGGCCUGCAUAGGUUAGCAUCAGAGCAUGAUAACGCUUCAGGUAAGAUAGGCAUGCUUGUAGAUGGUUGGUUGUUUUAAAAUCCUCUCUCUCUAAAUGCUUUGGUCCUCCUGUUCAAAUAAAUGAUGCUUUUGUUUAAGAAGGCUGUAUGUCACUGGUCACAGACUCCCAAAGGGAAGAACUAUGGGUGCGUGAACACAGCUAGGUAAGAAAGGUAGAUAUACAGCGUGCUGUAGCUCAGAACUCUGUCUAAGAGUGGAAGAAUUGUGGAAUUCCACCCAAGGAGAGGUAAAGGCACAAGGCAUAUUACCUGAGCGGCACACUCAGAGAGACCACAAAGGGGACAGAGGUGCAGCUAGUCCUGCAACUGUGACACACUGCACCACAGACAACAAAAGUGUAAGCUUUCCCACACCACUUUGGGAACAUUCCUCAAACUUGACCUGGAAGGAUCUUAUCUAAGGCUCAAAGGGUAGUUUAUUGGUCAAGCCCAUCCAAUUCUUGACCUCUCUGCUGAGAAUGCAAACAGAACUGUCACUUGUUAUAGAUUCAUGGUGUCAAUAACUGGGACCAUGGCCAACAAGACAUGUAACACAGAUUGUGGCUCCACUGGAGUCAAUGGCACAAUUCCCACUGGCCAGGUCAGCUGAUUUAGUCUUAUGGGGCUCAGGCUGCAGGGCUAUAAAAUUGCAGUGUAGAUGUCCAGGCCUGAGCUGGAGCCCAGGCUCUGGGACCCCUAAGGGGUAAACACAGCUUCAAGCCUAAUCCCCCUUCUAUCAACACACAAAGUGCGCUAACUCAGGGCUUGGACCCAGCCCAGAUCCCACAGAGUCUGAAUCAAACCAGUAUCCAGAGUUCAAUCCCUAUUGCUUUGCAGUGUGGGCACUGCCCCACUGGACUAGUGCGCUGGAAGUCCAUCAAAAGUAUUCCCCAAUCUCAAAAGCUGACUUUCUUUGUCCUCUAGACAGUCAUGUUUGGUGGACAGUCAAGUUCUCUUACAUGGCACCGUGAACUAAAGAAUAGAGCAGCCACAUUUUGGGAAGCACUAGGAAGUCUGGGAUAUGGGUGGUUAGACUCAAGCCCACAUAAUGCAGUGUAGGCAUUGGAGCCCCAAACUGGAACCCAGGAUUCAAUAAUUCCUAACCUAGAGUUAUAAAUGAGUGUAGAUGCUCAAAUCCUAGGCUAGCAAACCCAGGAUCUGCUAACUCAUUUUCUACAAACCCUGGGCUUACAUUGCAGUGUAGACAUGCUCUAAUUAAUGUGAGCUGGGUUUGAACUCCCAGCCUACCACUGAAACACUCAAUACCCAGAAAUCACUGGAUUUUACUUGCAUGUACUGCUCUUUUUAAAAUGCUGCUGAGAUAUAUAUAUAUUCCCACUAAUUCUGUAACUGCGUAAGCAAUGAAAGCUAUUGAAAGAGAGGAUCAUGUUACCCAAGUAUACAUCAUGCUUCAAGAGUGCAUAAAUAUAAGCCUAUAUAUUUCAACAUAUUUUAAUAUCAGGGUUUUUUAGUUGACAUUUUCCAGAGACAUCUGAAACAGGAUACAGUUAGAUUAAUAAAAGACCUACUUUUCCCUUCAUCCUAGUUGGCAAGUGAGCUCCAAUCCAGAAGUUCCUUACUCAACAAUACUCUUUUUAUGGCUGAAAUAGCACUGUUUACACUGUUGUCACAGUGUUAGAGGAUUCUGUCAUCACAAAUCUGCUUCAAGCCUGCAACACAGGAAAUGCACUUUCCUGAAGACGGGAAAGAUUUUCUUCUGUCAGUUGGAAUAAACUGGUAACUAGAGUAUAAAUAACUGAUUAUUUUUGUACAUUUGACAGUCUAUUUUUCCCUUCUCCUUUGGCCUCCUGCAUGUUGUCCUGAGCAGGACGAAAUGCCUUCUGAAGCUAGUUUUCACAAGGAGACAUUGUUUACUGCUGUGGAUUAGUGAG